UGGCGGACGGGUGAGUAAAGCUUAGGAAUCUGCCUAUUAGUGGGGGACAACAUUCCGAAAGGGAUGCUAAUACCGCAUACGUCCUACGGGAGAAAGCAGGGGAUCACUUGUGACCUUGCGCUAAUAGAUGAGCCUAAGUCGGAUUAGCUAGUUGGUGGGGUAAAGGCCUACCAAGGCGACGAUCUGUAGCGGGUCUGAGAGGAUGAUCCGCCACACUGGGACUGAGACACGGCCCAGACUCCUACGGGAGGCAGCAGUGGGGAAUAUUGGACAAUGGGGGGAACCCUGAUCCAGCCAUGCCGCGUGUGUGAAGAAGGCCUUUUGGUUGUAAAGCACUUUAAGCGAGGAGGAGGCUACUGAGACUAAUACUCUUGGAUAGUGGACGUUACUCGCAGAAUAAGCACCGGCUAACUCUGUGCCAGCAGCCGCGGUAAU
rnacentral:rRNA from 1 species